rnacentral:rRNA from 1 species
GAUGAACGCUGGCGGCGUGCCUAAUACAUGCAAGUCGAGCGAACAGACGAGGAGCUUGCUCCUCUGACGUUAGCGGCGGACGGGUGAGUAACACGUGGAUAACCUACCUAUAAGACUGGGAUAACUUCGGGAAACCGGAGCUAAUACCGGAUAAUAUAUUGAACCGCAUGGUUCAAUAGUGAAAGACGGUUUUGCUGUCACUUAUAGAUGGAUCCGCGCCGCAUUAGCUAGUUGGUAAGGUAACGGCUUACCAAGGCAACGAUGCGUAGCCGACCUGAGAGGGUGAGCGGCCACACUGGAACUGAGACACGGGCCAGACACCUACGGGAGGCAGCAGUAGGGAAUCUUCCGCAAUGGGCGAAAGCCUGACGGAGCAACGCCGCGGGAGUGAUGAAGGUCUUCGGAUCGUAAAACGCUGUUAUUAGGGAAGAACAAAUGUGUAAGUAACGAUGCACGUCUGGACGGUACCUAAUCAGAAAGCCACGGCUAACUACGU